rnacentral:rRNA from 1 species
GGGUUGUGAGGUUAAGCGACUAAGCGUACACGGUGGAUGCCCUGGCAGUCAGAGGCGAUGAAGGACGUGCUAAUCUGCGAUAAGCGUCGGUAAGGUGAUAUGAACCGUUAUAACCGGCGAUUUCCGAAUGGGGAAACCCAGUGUGAUUCGUCACACUAUCGUUAACUGAAUACAUAGGUUAACGAAGCGAACCGGGGGAACUGAAACA